rnacentral:rRNA from 1 species
GAUGAACGCUGGCGGCGUGCCUAAUACAUGCAAGUCGAGCGAACGGACGAGAAGCUUGCUUCUCUGAUGUUAGCGGCGGACGGGUGAGUAACACGUGGAUAGCCUACCUAUAAGACUGGGAUAACUUCGGGAAACCGGAGCUAAUACCGGAUAAUAUUUUGAACCGCAUGGUUCAAAGGUAAAAGACGGUCUUGCUGUCACUUAUAGAUGGAUCCGCGCUGCAUUAGCUAGUUGGUAAGGUAACGGCUUACCAAGGCAACGAUGCAUAGCCGACCUGAGAGGGUGAUCGGCCACACUGGAACUGAGACACGGUCCAGACUCCUACGGGAGGCAGCAGUAGGGAAUCUUCCGCAAAGGGCGAAAGCCUGACGGAGCAACGCCGCGUGAGUGAUGAAGGUCUUCGGAUCGUAAAACUCUGUUAUUAGGGAAGAACAUAUGUGUAAGUAACUGUGCACAUCUUGACGGUACCUAAUCAGAAAGCCACGGCUAACUACGUG